rnacentral:tRNA from 1 species
AUGUUCCUAGUAUAAUAAUACAAGUGAUUUCCACUCACUAAAUCCUAGAACACCACCUAGGGGAACACA